rnacentral:piRNA from 1 species
CUGUCUGAAAGAAAGUGGUAAUGAUGAUAC